UACGGAGGGUGCAAGCGUUACUCGGAAUCACUGGGCGUAAAGGACGCGUAGGCGGUCAGAUAAGUUGGAUGUGAAAUCCUAUGGCUUAACCAUAGAACUGCAUCCAAAACUGUCUGACUAGAAUGAGGGAGAGGUCAGUGGAAUUAGUGGUGUAGGGGUAAAAUCCGUAGAGAUCACUAGGAAUACUCAUUGCGAAGGCGACUGACUGGAACUUUAUUGACGCUGAGGCGUGAAAGCGUGGGGAGCAAACAGGAUUAGAUACCCUGGUAGUCCACGCCCUAAACGAUGUACACUAGUUGUUGGGAUGCAAGUCAUCUCAGUGAUGCAGCUAACGCAUUAAGUGUACCGCCUGGGGAGUACGGUCGCAAGAUUAAAACUCAAAGGAAUAGACGGGGACCCGCACAAGUGGUGGAGCAUGUGGUUUAAUUCGAAGAUACGCGAAGAACCUUACCUGGGCUUGACAUCCCGAGAAUCAUCCAGAGAUGGAUGAGUGCCAGUUUACUGGAGCUCGGUGACAGGUGCUGCACGGCUGUCGUCAGCUCGUGUCGUGAGAUGUUGGGUUAAGUCCCGCAACGAGCGCAACCCUCGUCCUUAGUUGCUAACAGUUCGGCUGAGCACUCUAAGGAGACUGCCUCCGCAAGGAGGAGGAAGGUGAGGACGACGUCAAGUCAUCAUGGCCCUUAUGCCCAGGGCGACACACGUGCUACAAUGGGGAGGACAAUGAGAAGCGAUACCGCGAGGUGGAGCAAAUCUAUAAACCUUCUCUCAGUUCGGAUUGCACUCUGCAACUCGAGUGCAUAAAGCUGGAAUCACUAGUAAUCGUAGAUCAGCCAUGCUACGGUGAAUACGUUCCCGGGUC
rnacentral:rRNA from 1 species